AUUGAACGCUGGCGGCAGGCCUAACACAUGCAAGUCGAGCGAGCGGCGGACGGGUGAGUAAUGUAUGGGGACUGCCCGAUAGAGGGGGAUAACUACUGGAAACGGUGGCUAAUACCGCAUACUAUCGGAUAACCCAUAUGGGAGUGGCUAGUAGGUGGGGUAAAGGCUCACCUAGGCGACGAUCUCUAGCUGGUCUGAGAGGAUGAUCGGCCCACCUGUGACUGUGACACGGCCCAAUCCCCUACGGAGGAAGUAGUGGGGAAUAUUGCACAAUGGGCGGAAGCCUUAUGCAGCCAUCCCGGGUGUAUGAAGAAGGCCUUGGGGUUGUAAGGUACUUUCAGCGGGGAGGCGUUACCCGCAGAAGAAGCCCCGGCUAACUCCGUGCCAGCAGCCGCGGUAAUUC
rnacentral:rRNA from 1 species